GCGUCGGCAGCGCAAUUGGUUAGCACGCGAUCCUGGAGAGGGUGGAAUGCGGGUUCGAUUCCCGCUUGAUGUU